UGGGGAAUAUUGGGGCAAUGGGGCGAAAGCCUGACCCAGCGACGCCGCGUGAGGGAAGAAGAUCUUCGGAUUGUAAACCUUAGUCAACAGGGAAGAAGAAAGUGACGGUACCUGUGGAGGAAGCCACGGCUAAAUACGUGCCAGCAGCCGCGGUAAUACGUAUGGUGCAAGCGUUAUCCGGAUUUACUGGGUGUAAAGGGAGCGCAGACGGCAUGGCAAGCCAGAUGUGAAAGGUGGGGGCUCAACCCCCAAGCUGCAUUUGGAACUGUCAAGCUAGAGUAUCGGAGAGGUAAGUGGAAUUCCUAGUGUAGCGGUGAAAUGCGUAGAUAUUAGGAGGAACACUAGUGGCGAAGGCGGCUUACUGGACGAUAACUGACGUUGAGGCUCGAAAGCGUGGGGAGCAAACAGGAUUAGAUACCCUGGUAGU
rnacentral:rRNA from 1 species